GAUUAUAUAGCUCCAUGGUUAGAGCAUCCGUUAUGUGUUGGUGAGGUCCUAGGUUCAAUCCCUGGUGUGAUCA